AACGCACAUUGCGCCCGCCAGUAUUCUGGCGGGCAUGCCUGUCUGAGCGUCAUUUCAACCCUCAUGCCCCAGCGGUGUGGUGUUGGGGAUCGGCCCCCCCGGGCCGUCCCCUAAAUCUAUUGGCGGACUCGCUGUAGCCUCACUCUGCGUAGUAGUGAUAUUUCGCAUUGGAGAGCGGCGAGCCCCUGCCGUAAAACCCCAACUUCUCAGGUUGACCUCAGAUCAGGUAGGAAUACCCGCUGAACUUAA
rnacentral:misc_RNA from 1 species